CUCUGAAGCUGCUGAAUGCUUGCAGGCACAGAGGUCUCCUGGUUCUCAGACUUUUCCACUACUCCCUUUUCUGUAAGUAGAAAUUGUUGUGAACCAGGUGGGGCAAAGACAUACUAGCAAAUUGAAAUUUUUAUGUAAUUUUUUUUUUUGUGCACUGAUACUGCCAGGGGAGAUUUUAGGUAAAACACUGAGCAGACCUCAGACCUUUUGUUGCAAGGCGGUAAAGAUAGCAUUUACUAAAGGAGGCUUUGUAGCCAUCGGAGAGCUGUUUGCUUCGUGAUGAGCCUGGAUAUUGAAGGAAGAGGUGUGGGUGUUCAGAUAACGAGCUGGGUUGUCUCUGGGAGUAAACGGAAGGCCAGUGAGGUCCUGGAAGACAGUCCGGCUCACAGGAAGUGCUCAACAAACACCUGCUAAAUGAAAAGAAAUAAAUGCCUCCGUGGAAGAGCACUGCAGACCUUCUGAAUUCUGAAUUCAGGAUUAGAGGAUUUUGGAAUGAAUCGUGUUGUUUCC
rnacentral:lncRNA from 10 species